rnacentral:rRNA from 1 species
UACGGAGGGUGCGAGCGUUAAUCGGAAUUACUGGGCGUAAAGCGCACGCAGGCGGUUUUAUAAGCUAGAUGUGAAAUCCCGGGGCUUAACCUCGGAACUGCAUUUAGAACUGUAAGACUAGAAUACGAGAGAGGGUGGUAGAAUUUCAGGUGUAGCGGUGAAAUGCGUAGAGAUCUGAAGGAAUACCGGUGGCGAAGGCGGCCACCUGGCUCGAUAUUGACGCUCAUGUGCGAAAGCGUGGGUAGCGAACAGG